CUAAACGACUCUCGGCAACGGAUAUCUCGGCUCUUGCAUCGGAUGAAGAACGUAGCGAAAUGCGAUACUUGGUGUGAAUUGCAGAAUCCCGUGAACCAUCGAGUCUUUGAACGCAAGUUGCGCCCAAAACCACUUGGUUGAGGGCACGUCUGCCUGGGUGUCACGCA
rnacentral:rRNA from 1 species